GACGAACGCUGGCGGCGUGCUUAACACAUGCAAGUCGAACGGAAAGGCUCCAGCUUGCUGGAGUACUCGAGUGGCGAACGGGUGAGUAACACGUGGGUAAUCUGCCCUGCACUCUGGGAUAAGCCUGGGAAACUGGGUCUAAUACGGGAUAUGACCUUUCUCCUUAUGGGGUUUGGUGGAAAGUUUUUCGGUGUAGGAUGAGCCCGCGGCCUAGCAGCUUGUUGGUGGGGUGAUGGCCUACCAAGGCGACGACGGGUAGCCGGCCUGAGAGGGUGAUCGGCCACAUUGGGACUGGGAUCCGGCCCAGCCUCCUCCGGGAGGCAGCAGUGGGGAAUAUUGCACAAUGGGCGGAAGCCUGAUGCAGCGACGCCGCGUGAGGGAUGACGGCCUUCGGGUUGUAACCCUCUUUCCGCAGGGACGAAGCGUAAGUGACGGUACCUGCAGAAGAAGCACCGGCUAACUAUGUG
rnacentral:rRNA from 1 species